rnacentral:lncRNA from 1 species
AAAAUCACCUUCCAAACCCCUUAAAAGGAAGAUAACAUCAGAUCCCUCCUUUCAAAAGAGAGUAGUACCGAUUACCCCCAAAAAAGACCCCUAAGCAGCGCCUGCCUUUCCCCAGAGAUUCAUCCAUCUCUUUCUCUAGAUAACACACACCCCAAAGAGAGAACAAAAGAAGAAUGGCAAAAAUAGUAAUAUGUAGUAGAGGGAACAGAACAAUAGAGAGGAAACCAUAACAAGAUGAGGAUUUUUUUUCUUUUUGAUUUUGAGUUCUUAGAAAAGAAAGAAUAACACAAAAAGUAUUUAUAAUCCCUCUUUCCAACUUCGAUUUUGAUUCUUAAUUGCGGAGUUUGAUUGAAUCAAGAUUGUCACGGUUCGAAGUCGCCGUUUGAGGUGUCCAUUUCCAUUCUUUGUUCCUGUUGAAGCUCAAAUUGCAGCAGCUGUUUUCUUCCUCUCGAGUUUGUUCUUAUGUUUUCUUGUGCUUGUAUUCACUUUCAGCAUUAAUCCAAAGUUUUAUGCAUCCAGGUUAAUCUCUUUACUCCUCCUUAUUUAAUUAACAGAAGAUGUUUGCGGGCUAGUUUAUAUACUAGUAUGUGAUGCAAUUUUCUUGUGAAAUCAGUGUUCGACUUAAACUCGUCUAGUUGUGAGGUUGUUAGACUAAUCUCAAAUUGGUG